UGGGGAAUAUUGGACAAUGGGGGGAACCCUGAUCCAGCCAUGCCGCGUGUGUGAAGAAGGCCUUAUGGUUGUAAAGCACUUUAAGCGAGGAGGAGGGUACUGGUAUUAAUACUACCAGGUACUGGACGUUACUCGCAGAAUAAGCACCGGCUAACUCUGUGCCAGCAGCCGCGGUAAUACAGAGGGUGCGAGCGUUAAUCGGAUUUACUGGGCGUAAAGCGUGCGUAGGCGGCUAAUUGAGUCGGAUGUGAAAUCCCCGAGCUUAACUUGGGAAUUGCAUUCGAUACUGGUUAGCUAGAGUGUGGGAGAGGAUGGUAGAAUUCCAGGUGUAGCGGUGAAAUGCGUAGAGAUCUGGAGGAAUACCGAUGGCGAAGGCAGCCAUCUGGCCUAACACUGACGCUGAGGUACGAAAGCAUGGAGAGCAAACAGG
rnacentral:rRNA from 1 species